UACAGAGGGUGCCAAGCGUUGUUCGGAUUCAUUUGGGCGUAAAGGGUGCGUAGGCGGCGCGGUAAGUCGGGUGUGAAAGUCUCGGAGCUUAACUCCGAAACUGCAUUCGAUACUGCCGUGCUUGAGGACUGGAGAGGAGACUGGAAUUUACGGUGUAGCGGUGAAAUGCGUAGAUAUCGUAAGGAAGACCAGUGGCGAAGGCGGGUCUCUGGACAGUUCCUGACGCUGAGGCAUGAAGGCCAGGGGAGCAAACGGG
rnacentral:rRNA from 1 species